UGAGGUAGAUAAGAUCGGUUCCACAUCUAAGUAUCGGCCAAUCACUGAUCUCCCAAAAUUAAAGAAAUCAGCGCACCCCUAACAUAAAGUGAAAUCAAUACUACACAAAUCAAGUGAAAAUCCAGAAAUAAUAUUGCUGCACAGAAGUGUAAAUCCUUACUUUGUUGAUGUACCAGCAUUCAGUCUCCUUGGCGCCUGCUAUCAAUUAUAAUGAAUCUGAAUAAGCUGAAAUAAAGUUCAGCUUGACAUGUACCCUUUAGCAAAAGCCACAGUUUGUAGAGGUUACAAAAGACCAGAAGGACCUCAUCAUACAAAAGGCAUAAACCUGAACAUUUGGGCCCCAGUUCCAUGAAGUAUGAGUAACACAAGAACAACACUGCAAGUCACCAAAAGGACACCAAGCCCACUGUGAAAUACACCGGUUGCAGCGUCACUCUCUGUGGUUACUUUACAUCACAUGGGUUUCUUCUUCUAGGUAGUUUCAAGUUAUGAGCAGUUUCAAAUGUCAGUUUUCUUUGGACCAACACCUUCAGGUGUCUGCUGGAAAGCUGAAGACAAAAAAAGGAUUUCAUUUUUCAGCAUCCAAGCCAAAAAUAAAAAGGAUGACACUUUGUGAAAUAAAAAAAGUUUUAGAAUGGAAAAGGUAGAGUCCAGAACUGAAUUUGACAGGAAAUCCAUGGGGUCACCUGAAGAAAUCCGUGGACAAGAGGGAGAUCUGAAGAUCUUAUGUAAGGUACAGCGGACAAAUAUUUCCUAGUAAAGAUGAGCGAUGUCAAGAGACUCCUACCUAAAAAGACCAAAUGCUGAAACUGAAUAAAAAUGUGCUUUACCAAGGCUGUCAGUAAAAGGUCUGGUUUCCCUAAGUGUCUGUUAGGUAAAUUGUAUAUAUUAUUAUCAAAUAUUUGUUGUUUCAUGUGCCUUUAUAAUGUCCUUGUCUUAUAUGCCUUUAUUUGUUUUGUUUCAUCUUAGCAUAAAGAAUGUUUCUGUGUUGUUGAAUUACUUUGAUUCCGUUCUCAGAAGGCCUCUCUGAGGAAGAGCAGAGAACCGUUUUCAACAGGGUUAUCGCUCAGCAGAAACCCAACAUCCUUGACCUGCUAGAUAGCUAUAAAACCGUCGCCGUGAAGAUGUACAACUUGCUCUGCUCUACCAUGUGUCUGGAACCGAAUAAUCUAGUGCAAGAUAACAUGUGUUUUAGUUAGUGAUUGUCAUUAGCACUGCAACUAAAAUCCUUUGUUCCCA